ACCGCUGUGUUACUGGUGAGCUCAAGAG
rnacentral:piRNA from 1 species